UACAGAGGGGGCAAGCGUUGUUCGGAAUUACUGGGCGUAAAGGGCGCGUAGGCGGCCCUCUAAGUCGAACGUGAAAUCCCUGGGCUCAACCCAGGAUCUGCGUCCGAGACUGGGGGGCUAGAAUCCGGGAGAGGGAUGUGGAAUUCCAGGUGUAGCGGUGAAAUGCGUAGAUAUCUGGAGGAACAUCGGUGGCGAAGGCGGCAUCCUGGACCGGUAUUGACGCUGAGGCGCGAAAGCCAGGGGAGCAAACGGG
rnacentral:rRNA from 1 species